rnacentral:rRNA from 1 species
CGAGCGGUAGCACAGAGAGCUUGCUCUCGGGUGACGAGCGGCGGACGGGUGAGUAAUGUCUGGGAAACUGCCUGAUGGAGGGGGAUAACUACUGGAAACGGUAGCUAAUACCGCAUAACGUCGCAAGACCAAAGUGGGGGACCUUCGGGCCUCAUGCCAUCAGAUGUGCCCAGAUGGGAUUAGCUAGUAGGUGGGGUAACGGCUCACCUAGGCGACGAUCCCUAGCUGGUCUGAGAGGAUGACCAGCCACACUGGAACUGAGACACGGUCCAGACUCCUACGGGAGGCAGCAGUGGGGAAUAUUGCACAAUGGGCGCAAGCCUGAUGCAGCCAUGCCGCGUGUGUGAAGAAGGCCUUCGGGUUGUAAAGCACUUUCAGCGGGGAGGAAGGCGGUGAGGUUAAUAACCUUGUCGAUUGACGUUACCCGCAGAAGAAGCACCGGCUAACUCCGUGCCAGCAGCCGCGGUAAUACGGAGGGUGCAAGCGUUAAUCGGAAUUACUGGGCGUAAAGCGCACGCAGGCGGUCUGUCAAGUCGGAUGUGAAAUCCCCGGGCUCAACCUGGGAACUGCAUUCGAAACUGGCAGGCUAGAGUCUUGUAGAGGGGGGUAGAAUUCCAGGUGUAGCGGUGAAAUGCGUAGAGAUCUGGAGGAAUACCGGUGGCGAAGGCGGCCCCCUGGACAAAGACUGACGCUCAGGUGCGAAAGCGUGGGGAGCAAACAGGAUUAGAUACCCUGGUAGUCCACGCUGUAAACGAUGUCGAUUUGGAGGUUGUGCCCUUGAGGCGUGGCUUCCGGAGCUAACGCGUUAAAUCGACCGCCUGGGGAGUACGGCCGCAAGGUUAAAACUCAAAUGAAUUGACGGGGGCCCGCACAAGCGGUGGAGCAUGUGGUUUAAUUCGAUGCAACGCGAAGAACCUUACCUGGUCUUGACAUCCACAGAACUUUCCAGAGAUGGAUUGGUGCCUUCGGGAACUGUGAGACAGGUGCUGCAUGGCUGUCGUCAGCUCGUGUUGUGAAAUGUUGGGUUAAGUCCCGCAACGAGCGCAACCCUUAUCCUUUGUUGCCAGCGGUUAGGCCGGGAACUCAAAGGAGACUGCCAGUGAUAAACUGGAGGAAGGUGGGGAUGACGUCAAGUCAUCAUGGCCCUUACGACCAGGGCUACACACGUGCUACAAUGGCAUAUACAAAGAGAAGCGACCUCGCGAGAGCAAGCGGACCUCAUAAAGUAUGUCGUAGUCCGGAUUGGAGUCUGCAACUCGACUCCAUGAAGUCGGAAUCGCUAGUAAUCGUAGAUCAGAAUGCUACGGUGAAUACGUUCCCGGGCCUUGUACACACCGCCCGUCACACCAUGGGAGUGGGUUGCAAAAGAAGUAGGUAGCUUAACCUUCGGGAGGGCGCUUAC